AUUUAUUUCUAUAUAUGUUACUAGACUGUGUCUUCUAUGGAUAGUAACUAAUGAGUUCCUAUUGACAGUUUAUUUUCACAUAGACUCCUCUGACAACAACAUAUACUAGAAAAUUAUAAAAUUUUCAUGUACAUGGAAUCAUUAGGGAUUAAAGGUACAGGUAUUUAGACUCCAAUCCAGGAUAUUUUUAUUUACCAAUUUUGUCCAGAGCAUCAGAAUCUGCAGUAUUAACCCUCAAAUAAUUCUUUUGCAGAGUGUUGGGAAUGCACUUGGGGAAAUACUGGUAGAGUCACGCAUAGUUGCUGAGAAUACAGGAAUCAUCUCCUGGCAGAGUUUUGGUGCGAAGCAUCCUUCUUUUCUUAUUCUGAAGAUGAGCACUGAGGAGGUGACUUACACAACCCUGAGAUUUCUUCAGUCUCCUUCAGAGGCACGGAAUAAACUAAGACCCAAUGCAACUAAACGGCCCAGAGAAGCUGAUGAGAAAGGUUUAUGUUUUAAGCAACUACACUGACCUGUUUCUUAUGACUUGCCAAGCUUCUGACAUUUGGAGGAAAGGUCUUAUCUUCCCCUUCUAAUUGUCAGCUGGUAGCGC
rnacentral:lncRNA from 1 species